rnacentral:rRNA from 1 species
GUACGGUGAACCUGGUCGGAAGGAUCAUUACCGAGUGUAAGGUUCCUAGCGAGCCCAACCUCCCACCCGUGUUUACUGUACCUUAGUUGCUUCGGCGGGCCCGCCAUUCAUGGCCGCCGGGGGCUCUCAGCCCCGGGCCCGCGCCCGCCGGAGACACCACGAACUCUGUCUGAUCUAGUGAAGUCUGAGUUGAUUGUAUCGCAAUCAGUUAAAACUUUCAACAAUGGAUCUCUUGGUUCCGGCAUCGAUGAAGAACGCAGCGAAAUGCGAUAACUAGUGUGAAUUGCAGAAUUCCGUGAAUCAUCGAGUCUUUGAACGCACAUUGCGCCCCCUGGUAUUCCGGGGGGCAUGCCUGUCCGAGCGUCAUUGCUGCCCAUCAAGCACGGCUUGUGUGUUGGGUCGUCGUCCCCUCUCCGGGGGGGACGGGCCCCAAAGGCAGCGGCGGCACCGCGUCCGAUCCUCGAGCGUAUGGGGCUUUGUCACCCGCUCUGUAGGCCCGGCCGGCGCUUGCCGAACGCAAAUCAAUCUUUUUCCAGGUUGACCUCGGAUCAGGUAGGGAUACCCGCU